AUUGAACGCUGGCAGCAUGCCUUACACAUGCAAGUCGAACGGCAGCACGGGAGCAAUCCUGGUGGCGAGUGGCGAACGGGUGAGUAAUAUAUCGGAACGUGCCCAGUAGUGGGGGAUAACUGCUCGAAAGAGCAGCUAAUACCGCGUACGACCUGAGGGUGAAAGGGGGGGAUCGCAAGACCUCUCGCUAUUGGAGCGGCCGAUAUCAGAUUAGCUAGUUGGUGGGGUAAAGGCCUACCAAGGCAACGAUCUGUAGUUGGUCUGAGAGGACGACCAGCCACACUGGGACUGAGACACGGCCCAGACUCCUACGGGGGGCAGCAGUGGGGAAUUUUGGACAAUGGGCGCAAGCCUGAUCCAGCAAUGCCGCGUGCAGGAAGAAGGCCUUCGGGUUGUAAACUGCUUUUGUCAGGGAAGAAAUCCUCUAGGUUAAUACCCUUGGGGGGAUGACGGUACCUGAAGAAUAAGCACCGGCUAACUACGUGCCAGCAGCCGCGGUAACAC
rnacentral:rRNA from 1 species